rnacentral:rRNA from 1 species
AACGAACGCUGGCGGCAGGCCCAACACAUGCAAGUCGAACGCACCGCAAGGUGAGUGGCGCACGGGUGAGUAACACGUGGGAAUGUAUCCUUUGGUUCGGAAUAACGUCUGGAAACGGACGCUAAUACCGGAUGAGCCCUUAGGGGGAAAGAUUUAUCGCCGAAGGAGCAGCCCGCGUCUGAGUAGGUAGUUGGUGGGGUAAAGGCCUACCAAGCCGACGAUCAGUAGCUGGUCUGAGAGGAUGAUCAGCCACACUGGGACUGAGACACGGCCCAGACUCCUACGGGAGGCAGCAGUGGGGAAUAUUGGACAAUGGGCGCAAGCCUGAUCCAGCCAUGCCGCGUGAGUGAUGAAGGCCUUCGGGUUGUAAAGCUCUUUCGCACACGACGAUGAUGACGGUAGUGUGAGAAGAAGCCCCGGCUAACUUCGUGCCAGCCGCCGCGGUAACAC